UUUGUGUUAUCCCAGCCAUCAAGAGACCCAACCACAGACUUAUAUUCACACAUGUAACAAGCAUAUGUGUUUGUUCUUGGUCAGGUGCUGUGCGGGGGUCCUGGGGAGACUGAGAUUAAUGGGACUUGGUUCCCUCCUUCCUGACACCAAGGAGCCCCAUCAAUCAUUCUCCAUGGUCUGGUCUUAGACUGACUUGCCAGGCCCUUUGUGAUCUGGUCUGGCUGUUUUUGUGUCUUCAGCCUCACCCCCUUCCCCUCUCUCUCUUUUACUUUUACUUCUUGCUGCUGGAGGGCAUGCACACAGUGAUCUCAGGCCCUGGGGCCCGGGGUCUGGGCUGCAUCUUGAAUCCUGAGCAGCCCUGACCUGAGGUAGGGCCCACUGGUCUUGGCCUAAUGGGGAAAGGGCAUGCUGUGUGUGGGUGAGACCACGGCACUCUCCCAGGCUCAAAUUCCCCAUGGCUCCCCUCUGCCCUGGGAAUAACCAUGAACUUCUUCAACAUGGACUCUCAGAAGUACUUGGCAGGGACCUGUCUGUCUCUCUGGACUCCUCCUGCUCCCUAACCUCCUUGCUUUGGGUUUUUACUGCCUUCAUGUGCCGCCCAUAUAGUUUUUUUGAAUGUGCAAUUUGUUUCCUGCUUCAGGACCUUUGCACAUGCUGGUCCUUCUGCCCGGUAUGCCAUUCCCAUCAUCUCUCCCCUUUGCCUCCUUAACUUGUAAUAUUUCAGACAGUUGCUCAAGUACCACCUCCUGCACACUCCUUCCCUGAUCCCCCAGAUCCACUCAGGGGCCCCUGUUUGAAGCUCUCCUACACCCUGGACUCUUUAUUCAGAGUACUUAUAAUGGUUUGUCUUUAUAUACUUAUGAGGUUAAUCAUUUGUUCCAUGACAGGGAGUAUGUGAAGUUUGUCACAAGUAUUUCAUUCAAAUCCUGCCAACUCUGUGAGGUGGUUCUCAAUUUUAUCCCUAUUUUACUGGUGAGACAAAGGAGGCACAGAGAGGUUAAGUGACUUUCCUGAGGUCACACAGCAAGUAAGUGGUGGAUGAAUGAAAAUAGUCUAGCAAUUUUAGCCAUGUGCCAAACAGUCAUCUACCGACUUCUCUGCAGAUGUAACGAGAGUGGGGGCUAUGUCAGCUUUACUCAUUCUCGUAUCCCAGUACCUAGUCCAGGACCUGCCAUUUGUAGCCACUCACUAAAGGGAAAAAGGGAAUGGAGGAAGGAAGUGGGAAGGAAGGAAGGAGGGGAGGAGUGGCUGGUGUGCCAGCUGUUAGAGAGAUAUCCUUGAGCAGCCUUUCCUAGAGGGGCGGCCUCCAGAGGCCAUGUUUUCCAUCCCCCCCAACACCCCUGCCCCAGCUCCUGGAUCCAGGAGAGCCAGUGUUCAAAACCAGUCAGUGUGCUUUCUCAAAAGAGGAUGGAAGGAGCACACUGGGAACCCAGAUGUGAACCAGAGCACUCCCAUCUGGGUUCCCAGUGUGAAGCCAGGGCAAAAGCAACAGAACCUCGGGAUUGGGGGCCCUGAAACGGUGCGUCCAGGGGUCCUCAGCUGUGGAACCUCCCUUUUCAAAAUACCUCCCCUUCCCUCUACCUCCAACUCCCACCUCAUCUCCUUGGGGAACAUGCCUCAGCUACAGGGAGAGACAUGUCAGUGUAGUGACAGGGAGCUCAUCACCUGCCUGGCUGCUCCAUGCCCUCUCGGGGCACGGAUGUCGGCUGUGAAGAGGACCUUCCGUCUCUGGUCCUGAAAUCUGUCCCCAGGAGGCUUCAUCUCUGCUGGGGGAGCCCAACUCCACCCAGCCUGCUCCCAGGACUGAUAUCUGCUCCUCUAGGGAUGAGGGCCCAGUCCCUUCACGGGCUCCUCGCAGGACAUGCAAGGAGGCCUCACUGCUCUCUCUUGUGGCCAGACUCCCACCAUCCCCAGCCACACCCAGACCGAAGCUGUCCAGAGCCGCUCUCAGGGGCCGUGGGCCCAGGAGCAGGCCUGGGAGGUCAGCAAGCCUGGGAGGCUUCCACCCCAGCUCCUCCACCCCCGUUUGAAGGGGAUCAGGUUCCCCCACAAACAUAAUUGAACGAAAAUAUGAGAGAGAAAAGGUCUUUGUUCUCCCAUUUACAGCGUCAGAAAAUAUGUAACAAAUUAGCCGUUUAUGAGGUAAGAGAGCAGGGCUGUGUGCCGCCGCGGAGAGGCAGGGCUGCGCAUAAGGGGGCCUUUCAGCCGGCUUCAGGGGGCGGCCAGGCGGGCAGGCGUUGCGGGGGACCGGCUCUGCCCCAGGCCUGCCAGUAUGGCCUGGCACCCAUGGGAUGGAGGGCUGGGAGGCCCUGGUUGACCUCUGGCUUGGACUCUGGGUUUGAUGAAGAGUUCCAGCGGAAGCAUCAGCCAGUCAUUAAUUCCAGGGGAGGGUGCACGUGGAACCAGAAGGGGUGGCUGGCCAGGCAGGAGGCUGUCCCUCACCAGGGAGAGGAAAGAGCGCUCCUCUCUCCAGCCUUGCUGUGGCCUUUAACUUGCUUCACUGGGUGUCCAGAAUCACAGGCGGGUGGAAUGACAGCAGUUUGAAUGACACCUGCUCUUUACAAGGCUGAAACCGAAGCCGCCUGAGGUCCCCAGGAGGCUUGCUAAAACUUCAACUGCACCCAGUUUAGCAGAGCAACU
rnacentral:lncRNA from 1 species